AUGGAGCGGAGGCGCCCGCAGAUCGCGCCGUCGCCGCCGGUGUCGCGGCGGAAGGCGGCGGCGGCGGCGAGCCAGGAGUGGCUGGUGGUGCCGGCGGCGGGGGAGCAGCGCGCGGGGGAGUUCGGGAGGCACCGGAUCAUGGAGAUGACGGGGCUCCCGGCCCGCGACCUCCGCAUGCUCGACCCGCUCCUCUCCUACCCGUCCACCAUCCUCGGCCGCGACCGCGCCAUCGUCGUCAACCUCGAGCACGUCAGGGCCAUCGUCACCGCCGCCGAGGUGCUCGUCCGCGACCCCAGCAACCCGCGCCUCCGCCCCUUCCUCCAAGAACUCCACGCCCGCCUCGCGCUCCCGGAUGCGGUUACCACGAAUCCGGCAACCGACGGCGGCGACGAUCAGGGCAACGUGCCAAUCUCCGGUAGUGCCAAGAUCCCGCCCUUCGAGUUCAAGGUGCUCGAGGUCUGCCUCGAACACACAUCCAAGUGCAUGGAAACCGAGACGUCGGUCCUCGAGAGUGAGGCGUAUCCGGCCUUGGACGAGCUGACCACCAAGGUUAGCACGAGCAACCUGGAUGACGUCAGGCAGAUCAAGAACCGCCUGGUCCAGCUAUCAGGCCGCGUGCAGAAGGUGAGGGAUGAUAUCGAGCACUUGCUAGACGACGACACGGAUAUGUGCGAGAUGUAUCUGACGAGGAAGCUUGCGUUUCAAGGAGUCAACAACGAGUCGUCCGUUAAUGUGGAUUCCAACAAGCAUGCAUUCCCUGAUCAUGAUCAUGAUCAUGAGAAGGAGGAAGAAGACCGUGGCGGUGAUACGGCGAGCUCCCACGGAAGUUCUGCUUGUGUUAAGCAUGUUGAAGAGUUGGAAAUGCUUCUUGAAGCUUACUUCGUGGAGUUCGAUGGCACGCUGAACAAGUUAUGCCAUCUCCGCGACUAUGUGGACAAUACUGAAAACUACAUCAACCUGAUGUUGGACAAGAAGCAGAACCAGCUGCUGCAGAUGGGCGUCAUGCUCACCACGGCGACCGUGGUGGUCACCGCGGGCAUCGUCGUCGUGAGCUUGUUUGGCAUGAACAUCCAUAUCGAGCUGAUGGCGGAUCCGGAGACCCCCGAGAUGGCGAGGAUCAAGAACAUGAAGUUCUGGGAGACCACCUGGGGCACCGUCGCCGGUUGCGCCGCCAUAUACCUCCUGGCCAUCUAUGCAGGGAAGAAGAGCAAAUAUUUGCAGUGA
rnacentral:rRNA from 1 species